ensembl:lncRNA
CUCUGAUCAAGCCUAGAAUGUGAUAGUUGUUCUUGUUUAGAGAAAAAUCAUACAUAUGAAAAAUCAUGUUAUAUAUGACGUAAGUGCUUACAUUUUGGAUUCUGGCAGUUCUCAAUCAGACAGGAACUGAAGUUUAGUAGAAUGGAUGUGGGUUGUUCUGUUCCAAUUGGUCUGAAUGCUUAAGAACUGGGCACGUUCAGUUCACUAGUUUCCUCAUCUCCCAUCCCAUUUUGCAUUUUCAUCCAGAUCAGCCCUCCCAAGUGUUGGAUGCUUGCAAAGGAGAAGAAACAAGGCAAAGGAACUCCGGUGGUUUUGUGUGCUGCUCUCUCAUGCCUUGUUGAAGAGUAGGAGUGGCUGGAUAACAUGUGAAGAAGCACUCUAGUUUACCGCAGAUGGCAACUAUGUGCCCUGAACUUCUGUGAGGGUAUUUCCGAGGUCAUCAGCGGUCCCAUGGGGGAAAUGAGUCAGCAAAAGCGUAAGUGAUUUCAACACCUUUGUUAUAAACUCAAUAGAUUAGUAAUAGGAACUUUACAAAAGUUUUGCUAAUUUAAGGCCUGCAAGACUUUCCACUGAGUAACUUCUGCUCCACAGAACGAUCCACACUGCC